AGGAUGAACGCUGGCGGCGUGCCUAAUACAUGCAAGUCGAGCGAACGGACGAGAAGCUUGCUUCUCUGAUGUUAGCGGCGGACGGGUGAGUAACACGUGGAUAACCUACCUAUAAGACUGGGAUAACUUCGGGAAACCGGAGCUAAUACCGGAUAAUAUUUUGAACCGCAUGGUUCAAAAGUGAAAGACGGUCUUGCUGUCACUUAUAGAUGGAUCCGCGCUGCAUUAGCUAGUUGGUAAGGUAACGGCUUACCAAGGCAACGAUGCAUAGCCGACCUGAGAGGGUGAUCGGCCACACUGGAACUGAGACACGGUCCAGACUCCUACGGGAGGCAGCAGUAGGGAAUCUUCCGCAAUGGGCGAAAGCCUGACGGAGCAACGCCGCGUGAGUGAUGAAGGUCUUCGGAUCGUAAAACUCUGUUAUUAGGGAAGAACAUAUGUGUAAGUAACUGUGCACAUCUUGACGGUACCUAAUCAGAAAGCCACGGCUAACUACGUGCCAGCAGCCGCGGUAAUACGUAGGUGGCAAGCGUUAUCCG
rnacentral:rRNA from 1 species